UAGAAGCCGAUGAAGGACGUUACUAACGACGAUAUGCUUUGGGGAGCUGUAAGUAAGCUUUGAUCCAGAGAUUUCCGAAUGGGGAAACCCAGCAUGAGUUAUGUCAUGUUAUCGAUAUGUGAAUACAUAGCAUAUCAGAAGGCACACCCGGAGAACUGAAACAUCUUAGUACCCGGAGGAAGAGAAAGAAAAUUCGAUUCCCUUAGUAGCGGCGAGCGAAACGGGAAGAGCCCAAACCAACAAGCUUGCUU
rnacentral:rRNA from 1 species